rnacentral:rRNA from 1 species
GUGGGGAAUAUUGGACAAUGGGCGCAAGCCUGAUCCAGCAAUUCCGCGUGAGCGAAGAAGGCCUUCGGGUUGUAAAGCUCUUUCGGCGGGGACGAUAAUGACGGUACCCGCAGAAGAAGCCCCGGCUAACUCCGUGCUAGCAGCCGCGGUAAUACGGAGGGGGCUAGCGUUGUUCGGAAUCACUGGGCGUAAAGCGCACGUAGGCGGCUACUCCAGUCCGAGGUGACAGCCCGGGGCUCAACACCGGAAUUGCCUUUGAAACUAGGUAGCUUGAACGUCGGAGAGGUAAGUAGAAGUCCGAGUGUAGAGGUGAAAUUCGUAGAUAUUCGGAAGAACACCAGUGGCGAAGGCGACUUACUGGACGACUGUUGACGCUGAGGUGCGAAAGCGUGGGGAGCAAACAGGAUUAGAAACCCCAGUAGUCC